rnacentral:sRNA from 1 species
AGCAGCCGCGGUAAUUCCAGCUCCAAUAGCGUAUAUUAAAGUUGUUGCAGUUAAAAAGCUCGUAGUUGAAUUUCGGAAUCAGUACGCUGGUCGUGCCUUCGGUAUGUACUGGUGUCACUGAUUCCUCCCUUCUGAAGAACCAUCAUGCCAUUCACUUGGUGUGGUGGGGAAUCAGGACUGUUACUUUGAAAAAUUAGAGUGUUUAAAGCAGGCUCGCGCUUGAAUACAUUAGCAUGGAAUAAUGAAAUAGGACGUUAAUCCUAUUUUGUUGGUUUCUAGGAUUGACGUAAUGAUUAAUAGGGAUAGUUGGGGGCAUUAGUAUUCAAUUGUCAGAGGUGAAAUUCUUGGAUUUAUUGAAGACUAACUACUGCGAAAGCAUUUGCCAAGGAUGUUUUCAUUAAUCAAGAACGAAAGUUAGGGGGAUCGAAGACGAUCAGAUACCGUCGUAGUCUUAACCAUAAACUAUGCCGACUAGGGAUCGGAUGAUGUUAAUUUUUAAU